UUACUCAUGACUAUUAAGCCCAACAAAUAAGAACUGUAUGGGUUUUAAAUUGUACAUUUCCGUGGACCACUCUACUAUAAGCAGUGCGCGUUUUGCGAGGUGCAUGCAAUUCUCGGAGGACAUGCGUUUCUCGGCACAACACCGCUAACAACAACAACAACGAUCGCAAAAUGAACAACGAACAAGCGAAAACCACCGAAAAUGAAGAUUUGUUGCCAAAAAGAAAAGGAAAGUCAGUUAUCUGGAAUUAUUUCGGUUAAAAGAAGGAUGAUGUCGACCAAAACACGUCUUCUGUGUUCAUCUGUUGCCACAAUAACGUCCCAGCA